UACAGAGGGGGCAAGCGUUGUUCGGAAUUACUGGGCGUAAAGGGCGCGUAGGCGGCCUUCUAAGUCGAACGUGAAAUCCCCGGGCUCAACCCGGGAACUGCGUCCGAUACUGGAAGGCUUGAAUCCGGGAGAGGGAUGCGGAAUUCCAGGUGUAGCGGUGAAAUGCGUAGAUAUCGAGAGGAACACCGGCGGCGAAGGCGGGUUGCUGGGCCGACACUGACGCUGAUGCGCGAAAGCCAGGGGAGCGAACGGG
rnacentral:rRNA from 1 species